GGGCCUGGCGCCGGGCGGGGCGCUCACCUGGGCGCGCGGCGCGGACCCGAACCGAUGGGGAGGACAUGGGAUGGGCUAGCUUGACCCAGAACCUAGUGGUCCCAUUCAAAGGACACAAAGGAGAACCAUCUACUUUUCCUUAUUGCUUUCAACAUUUAGUCGUUCAGUAAUCUAGGAGGUUGGUUCCCACCUCUGUUGGAUCUUGACUCUUCUCAUCCCUCAUCCCUGGGAUCUCCUCAUCAAGCAGUUCUGCAUCCUGAGAACCAUGGGACAACCCCACUGCCAAGAUUGUCCAAGGCCAAACUUCCCUGGAUUCCUGCCCAGGGUCACUGGACCCGGCUUUUACGUAAGACAGGGGUCCCAAAAGCUGGUUUUGAAGCUGGGGCCUGGGUUUGGUACUCAGUGAGUGUAGAAUAUGCAGUUUUUCACAUUCCCUGUCCCCUGCCAGGGAAGUCAGAGGCACAGACGCUCCUACAUGAAGAUAGGUCUUAGAGGUGGAAGCUGCAGACAGGCUUCCGGGUCCAGAGUGGUUUUAGCCAGGAUUAUGCUGACAGUCCAAGACGACCAAGGUUUGCUGUCAGUGUUGUAUGCAUGUAUCCCAGCUUGUGAUGGACAUACAGGGUCUACCCAUCCUCUCCACUCCCCGCUCCACUCCUGCCUUUCAGCCCUGGCCCUUCCCAAUCAUGUGCUGGCUUAGCUCGGACAAGUCUCUCACCAUGGGAUCAGCUUGAGCCUUAUGUGGCUGGAAUUGGGUUAGUCAAGGAGUAGGCACAGAGCCUUGAGCUGUUGGUUGUCUUGGAUUCCAAGAUCCCAGCCAACGCUCUCGAGCAGUUGGUCUCAGUGUUAAGUUUCCAGAAGACUCCCAUGCUUGGCUGGAGUGUCCA